rnacentral:misc_RNA from 1 species
AAAGUCGUAACAAGGUCUCCGUUGGUGAACCAGCGGAGGGAUCAUUACUGAGUUACAAACUCCCAACCCGUGUGAACCUUACCACCGUUGCCUCGGCGCGUCCGCCCAGGGCGUCGUCGGAGGACCUGAACAUCUGUUUCUGUAGUGGACUUCUGAGUGGCGCAAGCAAAUAUCAAAACUUUCAGCAACGGAUCUCUUGGCUCUG